UUCAAGACACUGCCAGGUAUUAAAGAGCAAAGUGGUGGGGAAGCUGCUGUUCUAUUGUUUUCAGCCUCCUUCCGAGGCUGGAUUAGGAUUUCAUACUCCCUGUUUUACCGGAAUGACAAUUAAGGUUAAUUUCUUGCUGCCCACAGGGCCAAAUCCUGCAGUCCCUGACUAGGGGGAGACCCCUAUGGACUUUGUGGGGGGCCUUGCCUAAGGGAAAGGUGGCAAAGCUUGGCUGAGCCCCAAGUCCAGCAAAUUCAAGAGCUCUGCAGCAAUUUGUACUGCCUCCAGACCUGGUGUGGUUGCUUUCGUGGUGCCUUUUUCUGUUAGAUUUUGCUACCUGUGCUCCUAGAUGUGACGGGACCUUUUUGCAUAGGGAGGUAUUUUUCCCUACAGAGAAAUGUAGGUCCGUGUUGGCUCGGAAGUUCUCAUGUCCUCAUUGGGUGACCCAGCAGAACUGCCAGACCCAUCCUGCUUCCUGGGGAAAAGCCUGCUGUGUCUGAGAAAACAUCCUUGAGAUGAUGCUGAGCAAAAUGGGACACUUGAUAGCUUUUCCCCUUAGACUUAAAACACCCAACAGUAAAAUUUCUGUGUGCACCGUGGGGGGGUGUCACAUCACAGGUACUUGGGGAGCACAAGAGCCUGGCAGCUUUCCUAAACGCCGAGCGUACAGUCAGAAGAAUCACAGUAUAUACAGAUCAAACACCGACUAGUUUCUCUCUCCCCUUAGCACCCCCCUUGCCUACUUUUGUCCAUAAAAGCAAUAGAAAGAGAGAAAGCUUGAAUUUUCUGAACUGUUUCACCCAUCCACAGCUGGAAUUCCAAAGUGAAAUGAAAAUGCCUUUAAAAUCAACCCUACAUGGGAGCCUGAGAGAACAAGUUUUCCUUUGUUGUAGGGUAUAGUAUUAUUUGCUGUAGGUUUUUGAUAUACAUUCUAAAUUAGGCCUGCAAAGGAAUGCUUCAUCUUUAAUUCAUCACUCUCAGCUGAAAGAGAUUAGCAAUGUCUAGCACGCACCCUUCGUAUGGUGCUGACCUCAUCAAGUAUGGCCUGAAAUUAAUUAGCCUCAUUCAUUCCAAAUGGAAAAGGAUAAUGGAGCUGCAUUUUAGAGAUGACCAUCACAAAUUGUAUGCAGCAUAUUUAAAAUCCCUCCCCCCUCACUCCCCUCCCCAUUUAAAAAACUACGUAGAUUAAAAUUCUUUCCAGAACUUGCAAUAUGUCAGAGUUAUCGAGGCAUUAGGAGCAGAAACCGCUCAGUUUUUAUUUGUGGAACUGGGAGCCACAUUUUGUGUGUGUGGCUGUAAAAGCGGCAAGCCUGUCUUAAUGGCAGAACACCUGGAAUUAAUUUGAUAUUUCCAGGUGCUCUGGCAAACUGGGGCAUCAAGCACUUGAUGUUUAAACAUUCUUCCACUGGCUUGCCUAAAUCAAUAUGAAAGUGGUGUCCCUUUGUCAUUCAUACAUGCAAAGUGCUAGCACAAACUCCAGCUUGGCUUCAGAGUCCUACAUCACUCAUAAUCUAAUUAGAAAUCAGAGCAGAGCUGAAGCAGCAUUCUUUGUGGAUUCUUGGGCAGCAAAUAGGGAUACUUGCCUUUUGUUUCCCUCCUCGAUUGCAUCGUUCACAAGCUUUCACACCACAUCUCUAAAGGUGGUUAGGUGCCUAAGAUGUUGACAGGCAUGAAGGACAAGAUUAUUUAGGUGCCUACUCAGGGUGAUUUCAAAUGGAAUUAAGCAACUGGAUGUUACUGGGGGGUAGUGGGGGUGGUGAGGAGAGAGACAAAAAAUAAAAAAGCUUCCAGUGUAUAUGAAAAGCUCUAAUUUGUUGUCCUAAACUCUAGCAACGUGGGCGAUCUUUUUCCAGGGUAAAAUUGCCUGCAGUCUGAAGUCUGCUAAUUUUUACCGAGGUGAGCGGGUACUCAGUUUUGGGCAGCGCAGCCCAGCCUAGUGGCUCAGCCAGCUCCUCCCUGGCUGGGCACGGUGGUGGUGCGUGCUCAAGUUGCUUCCCAAGAGACAGGGAAAGCAGUAAAGAGUGCGGGAUUUCCCACAGGAAUUUGGAAGAUGCUCACGUCUGAUGCAAUGGUGAGGAUUGGGCCAAAAUCCAGAUCCAGCCCGGGUUCCUCCAUCUGCGUAGUCCUAUCUCGACCUACAACUGCUGAUGGAUCACAGUGACACGGAUCUUUCUCGCUCUUUACACCUCAGCAUCAGAUCACCAGGAGGGCCUGGGAAAAUACUGGACGAACCAUGAAUCACAAGACUGUGACUGGAAAGUGUGGGGACCAAGCACACAGAGAGAUGGUUGGUGCAGCUGGUUCCCUGACUGUUGCUGGGUGGUUGUUCAGCUCUCAGUCAUGGCACAAGAUACUAAAGGCUGGAGAAACAUUGCGUGGACUGUUCUUGUCGUGGCUCCUUCUUGUCAGUCCUUUGAGCUGUAUGAAGCCCUGAGAACCAAGCUAACAUGAGCGUGUGGCUGGGCAUUUGCUCCUCUCAUGGUCUAUACCUGAAACACAGCCCAAAGUUUCUUCCUUUCCUCCUGCAGGUAGGGGCUCGAUCUAAUUUAUAGACUCAGUGUUAAUGAUGAGCAAGACAAUAAUGCUAAAAUAACCCAUGUGAACCUUUGCCCUCUUCUAGAAUGGGUAUUGUUUCAUCAUUUUCUCUGUUUUCUGGAUGAAGCAGCUAGCAUGAGAGGGCAUGCUGGCACACAUCCCACUUGAUAGCUGAAAAGAACAAACAUUUUUAAUAUGCUGCAGCUUAUCAACGUCCCAGUGAAUAAAGGGUGAAUGAUAUUUUCCAUUGGUUAUUCAUAGAUGUAUAUGGAUAUGCUGAGAAACUGGCAUUUAAUCCAGAGGACGGACAGAAAUAAAUGACCAGAUAAAAUACAUAACUCCUAGUGAAAACCUUGCAGAACGUGUUCUUGCCCCAAACCCCUCCUGGAAUAGGUACAAUAAUGCUCCCUGAGACCUGGCAGCCCUUCUAAGUGAGCAUAUGGUCUGCUCAGCUCUUGCAGUACCGGUGCACGGUGAGUAAACACACAGCAAUGUCAGAGCAAACAGGAGGCUGUUUAAUAGCAUGACAUUCUGUAGCUACUUCAAACUUCAUCAGUACUCCAGAAAUGGAUUCCCCCUCUCUGCUGGAGCGUGCACGGUUUGCAGGAGAGGUAGGAGAAAACUGAGAUGAUCUCUUUGGGGGUGGAUGGUGUCCAUAGCCAUCUCCCAUAAAGCUGAUGCAGCUGCAGAAGGGUCCUAGUGUGUCAGAAGUUGUAUUUUCUGGUGAUUCUACAUUGCCUUCUUCAUUUUUCUGAGAUGUCCCCUGAUGCAAUGUAACUUGUACAGUAAUUGGAAUAGAGAGAGGGACCGGAAGGUAAAAAUCCUGCUGUUAAUCAAGGCUGGCGAAGGGCAGAACAUUAGCUGCAGUAAUUGUAUUUCUGAGGGAGUCAACAAAGCCAGGCUCGUCAAUGCUAGCAAACAGAUCUGGUCCUGCCUCUGUGCUUCUCGCACUGGCAGAACAUUGCGCUGAAAUCACUGGAGUAGGGACUGGGCCAGGAAUGAGCGGCUGAGUUGCAAAGCAAAUGAAUUCCUGCCAGAAAAGUUCAGCUAUGCUCAGAAGUAUGUAAAGUGUCUGAUUUGAGAAGUGUCAAGUAGCAUUUGUGACCAAUUAUCCAAGAUGAAGGGGGCAGAGCUAUGUUUACAUGUACUAAUCUUCAGCCAAAGUUUGAAAACUCUAAUUCAUGGACAUGCAUCAAAUUUCCUUUCCAGGUUUGGCAUUUGCCCGUACGCACGCAUGCACAUUGCUUGGGGAUGACAGGAAAACAUGAUUACGACUUGCAAAUAAUACAAAUUAAAAAAAAAAAAGAAAGUGAGGGGAGCUGCCAUGCAGUAGCAGCAUGGUAAUUAAGCCUAUACUGUGAUACGCGAAGAAAAUCGUGGGCCACUGUAUGAGUGAAAUAGCUGUAUCAGCUGAGCUGAAAUAUGAUGUGUGGUGUGUCUGUAUUGUUAUUUUUCCACAACCUGUGAAGCCCUGAGAAAUUAUCUACUUGAAAGAAUAAGAAGUAAAAGCUGCCCCUGCCAUCUUCUGUUUCAUUAACACACAUAUACCAAUUUAAUGCAAUUAAUCAAGAUAGUAGGGAUUAAACAGUAACUCAGAGUUGACAACAACGUUAUCAUUGCUGUGGCAUAGAAGGGGUACAAAAUGAUAGCGGUGACUAGAAACACUGUGAGAAAGAACAAGCUGGCUGGAAUUUUGGGUGGGUUUCAGAGGUUUAUGCAGACCUACUGAAAUGUAGGGGCAGCUGAUUUUUCAUGUGGCCAAGUGUUUAUCUGCCCCUGCCCUUCCCUUUCCCCUCUUAGACCUGCCAGGGUAACCCCCAGAGUGGCAACAACUUUUAAAGUGAUUCCUCUUUCUUCUAACAGGUUCCUGAUGCUAAAGGUCUGACCUUAAAAUGAGCAGUGCAUGGGGACCGAAUGGUACCGCAGUGAGCUUCUGGCCUUCAACCCUUCCAAAUACAGCUAUUUUGGUAACCAGAACAGUAUAUUCAUGAUGUGUGAGGGAACAGAGCCUUCCAGUGAAGCACAUUAACUCUAUCAGUGCUGGUUGCUGUGCCCCUGUGCAGGUUAUCUGUGUCUAUUUAAGGUCCUAAAUGCAGGUUUGCAGAGGACUGCAGCUUUCUGUAACUUCACGGCCAUGCAUCAGUAUCUGCUGUACCUAAAAACUGGGCCUCUCUUCCCAGGGAUUUCCACGUAGAUCUGGGGAGAGCUGCAAUCACGUGCUGCUGUGAGUAGUUUGGACUUGGAUUUCUUGUCUGCAGGAGAGAGACAGGCUGGUUUGCUACAAUGCAACUGUCCUCAUUAAUGUAUUUCAAGCCCUGAUGUACUGGGACCACCAUCGUUGGGUAAGAAGAUGGUUGAGUUUUCCGGGCUCAUUCACUUGGCUUAAGAAUGUUUAAUUGGGUGAUAAUGAGUAGUAAAGUGUCUCUUUUUGUGGUGAAGUUGACACUUGCUGUCUAGUACAUAGGCACAGGGAUGACCCUCCUCAUUUUGCACAGGUCACCAAACAGCCCCUGGGAUGGUAAGGGUUAUUGGCCAUUUACCAAACUCUGUUUGACUUGGGUUCAUGGCUGAGAGAUGAAAGGCGCUAUAUUGCAUUACCUAUCCCUGGGGCCAGCUAGUCCCCCUAAAAAACCAUUUUAUUUAGCAAGGCUGCUGCUGGCCCAUGGGAACCAGAGAGUUAAGAAAAAGAAGAUGCAGUUUCAAUUGCAAAUGCUUCCUUAGGUCUGAUGUUUUAAAGCCACAUGGAAAGUCACUGCUUCAGUGUCGCAAUAGUUGCUCCAGGGCACUUAAUGGCCAGUAGAUUUUUCCCAUAAUUAAUCUCCCUUUCUUCCCACCGAAACAUCCAUUAGCUUACUCCUGGUGUUUCUGCCCCUGCCCUAUUCUGUUUUGCUCCGUCUUCCUGGGGGAAAUGCCCCAUACCUGGGGUAAGCACAAUGCAGCAGGUAUGAACCGUUUCCUUUUCUAAGAGCUUCAAAGUCUAGGCAGCAUUUGCCUUCCCCGUCUCCCAGAUGAAACAACCAGCCCUGGUACCACACUUAGAGCCGUUGGGAGGAGAGAAGUAUGCUCCUGAACUUCCCAAACAUUUUCACUGUCCUAGAGCUGAGAUACUGACUGAUUUUCCUGGCUAUAGCGGAGUGGUCCUUACUAUCAGGGCAGUCCAAAUGCUGCCUUUUUACAGAUGAUGGAUGCAGUGCUUAAUGCUGUAAUGGUUACAGGAUCUGCUGCUCAGACAGACCAAGAAUUCAACCCGACCCAUCCUGAAAGUCUUAUGAUCUCAAAACCCAGUCUUGUUCCAAAUUUGUUAGCACUGGUCAAAGUCCUCUUUCACUUUUCUCCCUUUCUGUUUGUGAUGUGAAUCAUGAGACUUUCGGAAGUUGCAUUUGUUGUUUGAUAGUUUUACAUCAUGGUUGUAAUAGUGCAUCUGCCAAGUCAGCAGGUUUUUUGUGUGUUUGUUUAUAUAUUUAAUACUCCAUCUCCAGCAAGUUGUUGUUACCCAGUUCCUGUUGACAACCAGAGAACAGGCACAAGUCAACUGAGAAAAUGAACGACUAGAAGGUAAGUGGAAAGACUAGUAAAUGCAGGCCAUUCACGUGACAGGAUCUGAUUCAUUUUUAUGCCAGGGAGAUUUUUUAAAUGGGACUUCUCCCCGUGGAGAGCUCACAAUGCUCAAGGCCUGCUUCACUAUAAAGACAAUACAUAAUUAUUCAGAGCAUAUUAUUAUUUUUUAUCACUCGUUUUUCAGUCACACGGAGUGAGGGCACAGAUGAGAUCAGGACCUAGUUUAUUGCCAUUCACUGUACAGAUUGUACAGUACACUACUGUAAAAUCCCUAUAAAAGGUGCUAACUAUUUGCUUUAUGGAGGCAGGUAAAUACACACGGGCUGAAGGUUGAAUUGACUGGUCUAAGAUGGCAGAACCCAUCAGCAGCAAAAAUGGGGACUCAGCCUGAGACUCUCUAUCCUGGGAUCCUGCGGCUCAUUUCUUUAGACAUCAUUUCUUUUUACAUUUAUUUUGAAUCACUAAAUUGGUGAAUUGAAUAAAUGCCAUGUCCUUUAAAGCGUUAUUUAUUGCAUUUAUAGAAAACAGAUUAUCUGUUCUCACAGGCUAGUGGAGAUUAUUAAGAAUGAUAAACUCAUCAGGAAAAAAUGUAGGUGGGGUGUGACGGAGAAGCUUGUGUUUUAUUCCACAAUGCCAUUGCAAUCUCUGGUUGUGGUAUGACAGACUAUACGGUCUCAGUGAUACUGCGCCAUCCUGUCCUCUGCUUUCAGGUUGGGGUCACAAACUGGAUUUGGAAGAAGCAACUUUCAUACAGAUAUGUGACUGGGAUAGGAACAGUAUGCCAGAGUAAGUGGAGUUUUGUUCCGUUUCGGUUUUAGUCAAUGUAUGAAGUCCGUACAAAGGUUAUUGUUAAUCCCAGCCUGGUUGUGAAACCAUGUUUGACCACGACUUGUUCGAUCCAGUGAAGCAUACCUGUGUACCGUAGCAACACCUGCUUUAUUUGUAUAUUAAAAUUAUUUCACCAGGUCAGCUCUUUGGGAGUUAGCAUUUCAUUCAUAAAGUAUUCCACAGCACACAUCAGUUGUGCUAUCUCUCUACCUUCAAAUGAAUUGGGUGAUAUUCUUAAGCUUAUUUAUAUUUUAAUUUAUUGUAAUAUUUCUCUACUUUCUUAUCUGAAUAAUCGAGACAAUAAUAAUAAAAAAAAAAAAGAAGAGCUAAAAAAUAACUCUCAAAGACUGAAUGGAUACUCAUUAUAAUUUCCCCUUUAGUACUUGCAAGUCUUGGGUUAUCUUAUGCAACUUUUCCGCUUUGGCUAGUGCUUUACUCUUUGGUACUUUUGCUCAGACACAGAAGGUAGUGAUAACAGAUAACGUGUGUUAUAGGUUUCUUUACAGAUGAAGUCAAUGAAGUGUCCCGAAGUCUGGUAACUACUCGAUACCAGCAACUCAUAUGACCCUCUGUGCUACUACUGCUGCUUUGAAAAAAUUUAUUUAGUCAUUUGGACUUUAACUACUCAGACACAUUCCUUCCUGCUGCAACAGCAGUGAUAGAGGAAGGCAUGUUUUAAACCAUACAGUCAUUUCCAUCCUGGAUUUUGUGAGGGGUUAUUCUUGCCUCAGAGAUGAAUCAUCCAAAUAUCCUUCUACAGAUUCCAGGUGAGUUACUCACAUUUAGAUGCUUCCAAGUAAUACACAGAAAGGUGCUGAGAAAAUUACAAGUCUCUGCCUAGUCAAAAAAAACUCAGCAAAAGUAGAUAUGAGCAAAAUACUUGUACUAGUGCUCAAAAUCUUUCUAAGGAGACCUGGGGCCAAAGGGCUUCUGCCUUCAAAAAUGUGGGGCCAACAGGGAUGCACAGUACUUGCUUUACUGACUGACCCAUCAGCCACUCUCUGUCCCCAGAAACAGUUCAGGAAAUCACUGAAAGUAUCUGAUGAUAUAAAAAGGAUAAUUAAGUUUCAUUGUGGGAAUAAGAGGGUAAUCUGUCCAGACAAAUCUAGGAACCAGCAUUGAAAACUGUAGUAUCUGAAUAUAAAAAAUGAGUAAUUUUGAAUAAAGAUGUCUAUCAGGACUGUAAAUUCAGAGAGUAAAAAAGUAGCUUUGCUUAAUAGACCAUCUCUCUCCAUCUUCCUCUAACUCAUUUUCUUGUUCUCUUUCUUCCUUUUGUAUUAUUGCAAAAAAUGCAUGUAAAAUCUGAUAUUGUGAAUGCUUUAGCUUAAUUUCAAUCUUCUCUUCUCAAAAUGUUUUGUUCCACUGUGCAGAUUCCCCCUAUGAGACAACCUUAGCCAUGACUGCACUAGGCUUGCGGUGCCACUUAUUUGCAGAGAGAACAGCUGUAUUUCGAGGGGUCUCUGAGGUAGCCAGCUCCCCAUGCUUCUGAGGCUCUUGAAGAUGUUUCUGAGCUGGCAUGAGAAAUCAGCUGGGUCUCAGAGCAGAUCACAAGGUGCUUAGGACAGUAUUUUCUCUGUGUCUUUUUUUUGCUGAGCAGAAUUGCUGCGCUAUAAACAAAUGCGAGUUUUGCCUCAUUCUUAGAUACUGUGAGUUAUGAAAGCCCACUCUAGAUGUAAUGAAUGUAUAGAUCAUUUUGACCAGAUCAUAAUCUAUUAGUAAAUAAUGUUCCCUGAAAAUGUAUAGGUGAAAUAAAGAACUUCUUGCUACUAUAGCUAUGUCGGUAUCAAGGAUUACGGAUGAGGCCAACACGAUCCUGAGGCUUUGUGCUACUGAUGUUUAAAUACAGUGCAGAACUAACUACAUGGUUUAGUGAGCAAAUUCCUUCCUGGAUUAGGAUAGUCGGAUUUAUACUGCUGGAAACAGAACCUGAAACUGUACUGUACUUCCCUGUCCCUAGACUCUAUCACAAGCCCCAAACUUCUCUUCACUGACAUGCUCACUAACAUUUAUGACACUCUUCCAUUAGGCUUCCCUGAUUUUGGUAGUGAUGUUCAUAAGCAAAUCACACAGCGGUUUUCAGAAUGGGUAGGACUGUCAUACAGCAAACCCCUAUAACACCUAUGACUCUUCUUCACUGUCUCUGGAGGAAGCCCAAGGAUACCAGGCUGUCUAAGACCUAUGGGUGAUUGUUAGCCCAGUGUCUAGGCCGUGAGAAGGUUAGUUUUAAAGAAGAUGGCACUUAAGGGACGUCUGUGUGACACAUGCUACAGUGUCCAGAGAUUGGAGUCUAUGUAUUUUGCUCUAAAUCUAGAGAGGAAGUCACCAGAAAAAAAGGGAAAGAAGCACAGGGGAAUAAAAGUACUUUUGAAAGAGAAGAAAUCUACAUUUCAAUGAAAAUCCUUUCAAGGCAUUUCAAAUAAGAGUCUGAGAGAAAUAAUUACAAAGUUUGGAGAGAAAGAACGUUAGCUUUGAUAUCUUUUUCUUCUAUGAAGCAAUUAAAAUAAGCAAUUUUUCAAAUACUAAGCAGAAAAUUACUAGUGGCUGAACCCAAAAGCUUUCAUUUCCUUCUUGGGGCUUUUAUUCUUCUAAAAAAAGACAAAAAAAAAUGUGAAGGUGGUUUUCCAGAUAGAUUAAUGCAUAAAGCAGUCGCUAGUUGGAUGUCAUAAAAACUACAGCAGCAUAGAAUAGCUGAGAUUAAGAGCUAGAUUUAAAUCAUGCAACAGUCCAGUUAAUAUCAAUGUCUAAUUAAGAAAUGCAUAAGAAGUCUGUAAUGUUGAUUUGAUGGAGAAAAACUCUAAUAGGGUUUCUUUUGGAAUUUUCCAUUUCAAUUGCUGUGUAGACUUUUAAUGGAUGUCCUCUCCAGUCUUUGGUAUUAGCAGGAAUCAUCCUCAAAUUAAAACCAAGGCCUAAAAUGGAACACAGGUAGACAAAUUAGCUUGUCUGGGAAGCAGUCUGGGUAGAAUGACAAUGUGAGCUCAAGCUGAAAUUUUAGUACAAAUGAAAGAGAACAAACGUCUCAAAUCUGGCAUGGAAACCCUAUCUGCUUAUCAUUUUAAACAAUUUAAACCCCUGUAAUUUUAAACAAUACAAUGUUAACCCAUUUCCUCACCUCUCUUAUCCCUGAUAAUUCAUACUUAGAAAUCCAGACCACUAAGCAUUAUUAAUUAGUCUUUUUAAAUAGGAAGGCUUUCUAUAGUUAUGUAUAUUAGUAGUAUGUAGAGGUGGGCUCUUCUUUGCGUGCAAUGGGCUUUACAGCCCACAGUUCCCUAUCACUAUCAAUUAAUGCCAUUAAUCUCCCGCUCCUCUCUGGGUGACUAAAGCUCUGACACUCUUUGAGCAAAACUGAACCUGUGGCACCUGCUGUGUCACAGAGAUCAUCCAGGAUGCCUGGUCUCUAGGUAUGAAAGGGGAACUGGUUUUAUGCUGCAUGUCACUAACGCCCCAAAGUUGCUUAACUGGGAGCCGUAUAACUGUUAGUAUGCACAAAUCCACAUUGCAAAGAGGGAGAAAACAUGGCACUGGAUUAAAGCAACAGUGUAUUUGUUAUCACCACUUUGUUGUAGACCCAACAAAUCCAGAGGGAAUUAUCUCAAGAAUCCAGGAGGACGGCAAACUCAAAAUAAACCCUCUGACCCAGGCAGCAAGCGCACUGGGGAGUCAUUUUUAAGUUCAUUAGAACACAUUAAAAUACAAUACAUUGGCCAUGGUAAAGCGAGGCGUAUGAUUCCAACUGUCUACGUGUUUCUUUCCAGUACUAAAUCCAUCCAGAGACCUUUCAGAAUUAUAUCAUUAAGUCUUGCCACUUAACUUAGCAAACAGAGAGUGGAAAAGACUGGGGGUAAAAUCAGGGUAAGAGUGGAAGUUUGGCACUUCCAAGUCACUGUCAUUGCCUGAAGUGUCACAGUCCAAAUUCAUGCCUGGUGUUACUCUAUUGAUCAAUAAGGCAUAAAUAUGUUAUAUUAACCAGUGAUAGCAUGGCCCUGGGGGAUGCCCUGAGGAUUUUUCUCCUCGAAAGGGAUGGGAACUAGGAUGUUCUCAGUCAGGCAUCCGCCCUCUGAAUGAUGCAGAAAGUCUAAGGUGGGGAUAUUCAGUUCAUCACAGGAGUCUGAUUUUUUUACCCCCCUCUUGACUGUAUGAUGGGGUGGGUACCAUGGGUAAAGGUGCUUCUACAUGGUUGUACAAAUGGAGUGCUGCUCUAGCAGGGUCCUUUGUCUGCAAGCUUUGCUGGAUUUGUGCAAUACUUUAAAAAAAACAACAACCAGAGUAUGAAGCAGGCUGCCUUUCGCAAAAACAUGCAGAAGGCAAAAAUAAACAAACCUUAACUUGUCCAACACACUUGAGAGUCACAAAUUCUGUUACAGUUUUGCUCAAUGAGAGGAAAAUUUCUCCUUUUCUCCAUGAAACCAUCCUUUUAGACAUUACUGCAGUCAUGACCUCACUGCAGUUCCUGCAUUAUUUCUGAAAAGAUUAAAAUGAACUAAUACACCAGUGAUCUCAUCACAGUGUAAAGGACAUCUUACACAACGGGGGAAAAAAUCAGGAGAGCUUCAGUGCUGCAUUUACAUCAAGAGUAGAAAAAGCCCUAUAACAUCAUUGUGGAGAAACACUAAAGGUACAAUGCCAGAGAGGCAUUUUUCCAUCUUCUUAUAAACUAUUGGGAUUUGUCCUAUGUGAUGCUGCCGGUCACACCUGCCAUCAUUUUAGCUGUCUCCGCAUCUCUUUUCUUUCCUUUGUUCCUUCUAUACCUUCCCUUGCCUCUUCUGUGCCCUUCCUAUGUGUUUUAAUGUACCUGAUUACUUUGAAUCAUACACACUACUGUUCUCAACUACCUCCAAAUACACUUUGCAGAGUAUGUACAUACAAUCACGUUACACAAAAGAAUUCACACAUACUUCAUCUCUAGCUUAUAUUAUUCUGGGUAAGAACACCUUUCCCACAUGUAUAUACGAUUCUCAGACCAAGGAGUGAUAGAUUAUGACAGAUCUCAUCUACUUUGGAGCUGUUGUACCUUCUAAUAGAAAUCAGGAGGAUGAGUAGGGAGAGAUGCUUUGUUUUCUUUGGGAGGAGAACCUAGAAAUUAGCGUUGAUGUAACCAAGAAUCCCCCCAUGUUUUUAAUGUUGUAUCACAUUCUGAGGCUGGAAACUAGAAUAUCUUCAGAGCGUGAUGAGCAUAGUGUCAAUAAUAUAAUCUUAACUCUUGCACCCAUAGAUACACCUCAGCUCUGGCUUGAGAUCACACCAUUAAGCAAUGAGGUGACAAACCAGUUUCCUUUCUCAAACUGAACGUCACCUAACCACCCAUUUUGGUGGCGGUAGUGUCCCCUGACUUUUCAAGGAAAGAUGUGCCGGUGUGACCUCUUCCCACCCUGUACACUUGGGAGGAGGAGACAAAACUGCUCAAUUCCAUCUGUGACAUUUCUCAGCCAGCAAGAAAGCCACGAGGCAUCAGCCUGUAGGCUGGAAGGCAUCAGAGCAGCCACCUGUUAGACACUGAUGAAGAAACCUCCAAAACCAUCAAGAGGAGAUGAAUUCCCAGGGCUAAAGCAAACUAUUAUAAAAAGCGAUGGUACCUUUCUACCCAUCCACAAGUUUUGUUACGCCUAAAUGAGGCAACAAAAUUAUCCAACCCCAUAUGCUCUGCAGUUCAUAGAUCUGAUUUGGUGAAGACAGUCCUGGUCAGUGAGGAGCAUUAUAGAAUAAUACAUAGUGCAGCAUUAGAAGAAGCCCAAAUAGCCCAGGGAGCAGCACAGAGCAUCUGUUACCAACAAGAAAAUAGUGGGUGAAAAGCUGUUGUAAUUCCUGGCCCCAGGAAACUGUCUGGAGAUGCAGACUUCCCAAGGUGGAGGGGAGUUGGAGAACUUGGGGUGUUCAGUGAGAUCCCACCCCUCCAUAGAUUUACCAGGUCAGCUCAGUCCAGGCCUAAGGAGUGGGACAAGGUCCCCAGCCCUAUUCCAAGUUCAUUCCUCUAUUGAUUUUGAAGAGGUAUUUAUAACAGAUCAGGACCUUGAACCGAGACCGGCCUACCAGCUGAAGCUGUACAAACGAAGUCAUAUAUUCCCCAACUACAGAUAAAACCAAUGGCCAAUUUUAGCCUAAUCAUCACUUCUGCCAGAGGAAAGAGAAACUCUUUGAGGUAAGUUCCCUUGGAUAUAAUUCUUUCUCUCCAGGUUAAAGAAGGGCUGCAGCUAAUACAUGUCCUGAGUCGUAAUGUGGAUUUGCACCUUUCCUGUGAAAUAUAGCUGGUUCAUGUCCAAAGCAUCACUUCAAUUCCUAAUGCUCACUUAUAUCGUUACAACUUCUACAUUAGUUGCAGGUGUGAAACGCUAACUGAUCCACACUUCUCUUCCUGUCAGCAGGAGAGUAAUGUAUGUCAAAGGCCUGAUUCUCAGAGGUGAGGUCACCAGGAUCUCCAUUUGCACAUCUGCUUUGCUAAACACAAAACUCUGGAGAUUUGCAAAGCUCCAAUAUGCACAAAAUGGGAUGAGUUCACUGGGGGGCCACACAUAAGAAACUGUUUCUGCUUCUCACUUAGUAGGCAUGUCACAGAAUUUGCUUUCUACAGAAAAUAUUUGCUGUUUUACAACAGGCAGCAUUUCACUAGUCUUCAUAUGUGGAUACUUGUAAGUUCUGUAUUAAUACAAGGUAAAAAGCUGCACUCCUCCAUGUUACAUGAAACAAGAGAAGUCAGGAUAUCAACAGGUGAAAAAAGGAGCCUAAUACAUUAAACAGCUUCAGAAAGUUAGUAGUAUUCAAUGUAUCCCUGCUUGGGCUGUGCAGAUGUUGAGAUCGGGGUACUGCCUGAUCAGAGCCUCUGGAGGGAUGAUGCUUCUAGAGCCUGCCUUACACAGAGGCUUCCAGAUUUGGUUUUGGUGGCUUAAAGAGAAGUCUUCAAAUAUUUCUGCUGCCUGGAUAUUUUUCAUACCUUAGAAGAAGUCUUCUGAUCAUAAUGUGUUUGCACUUGAUGCCUAGAUAACGGUUCUUGCUCAGGAACCUCUAAUACACAGUAUUUUCUGCCUUCUGUAUUUUACAAGAGAUCAAAGACUAAUCAUGUGUAUAUAUAUAUAUGCACCUAAUUCUUUCUUGACUUCUGAUAAUCUAGAAUAUCCUUCAAUAUCUGCAAUAAAGAUUCCCUCAAGUAAUCUAUACAGACUAUUUUUUUGUCUUCAUAUAAGGUAAAUAUUUGGCCUUUUCAUGUCAUCUGGUUAUGCCAUCAUGAUUCUGUUUUUUUCUGGACUUAUAGGGCAUUUCAGACACACGCAUCCAAGCAUCGUUCACCACCAUGCACUAUACUUUUCCUCCCUCAGCUAUUUCUGGUGGUUUUUGGGAUAGUGGAACCAAAACUGAUCUUAAUAUCCAAAUGAGAAAACACAAUCGGUCAUCAGCUACCUGUUUCACUAAAUGGAGUUUAGACCUGCAAACCCCAGAGUGACUUAAUUUCCAUUAAAACCAAGGGAUUUCAAAAUCCCAUAGUGUACUGGGGAAAGCCAUGAGCAGAACACACAGGUCAGAGUAGGUUUCAUGAACAUCUGAGAUCCCAACCCUGAGACUACGCUGCUCAAAAGAGACAUCUCCUUAAGGAACCUGUUAAAAUGAUUUUCACAAGGAUCAGAAGAGAUGCACUUUUAAUAUUGAGGAAGGGAAACAUUCUUUUUCAGAGAAAAGUUUGAUUAUGGAAUAGACUCACUAUUUUGGUACAUUAAAGGAACUGCACUGUAAUGAACAACAUGGCUUGUACUGCUCUUCAUGGAAGUGGCUAUUGAAUUAAUAGGUGCCCUUUUCCCCUGAAAGUUACACCAGAAAUUCAGUGCAAAAGUUUGUCAUGUUUCACCAGACUUCUUUACCUUCCUGAGUAAUAGAAAUUGCAUUUGUUUCCCUGGGCUGUAGAAUAUAGAUGUAAUAAACCCAUGAAAAAAAUGGGGAAAUAUAAGAGAUACUGAUUUUCUUGGGAUGAAAAACAGAAAACUUGGGCUUGAAAAACAUUUGAGUGUAAUAUACUCCGGAUCUUAAAAAAUUUUUAAAGAAACAUUUUCCAAGUGCAUGCCCGUUAGUUUUAUUCUCAUUUUUGCCAUGUAUAAUUAUGAGAAACUUACAGUCAACUCGUAAGAUUUUUAGUUUCUGUUGAGAAUUGCCUUUUCAAAGAUAAUUCUGUAUGCUAUUACUUUAGCCCACUGGGUAUCAUGUAGGCAAGGUGUAAGAUUAUGCACAUGAAUAUUUCUGUCUACCGCUUAUGUGUGCUGAGACAAUAUCAACUUACACUUUCUCUUGUCAUUGGUCCUUAUUCCACAGAGGAUAUUCUUAAUUACCAGCAAGACAAUUUGGUAAUAUCACAGAAAGUGUUACAGCAUCAUUUCUGUGAUGAUUUACACCUGCUAAGGGUCUGAUCAUUGAAUUUUAAACCAUAUUUUAAACUCAGAAGAUAGAGAAUAUUUUUUCUCCAGGACACUGUUUCUAUUUUUAAUAGAAACCCUCUCCUUUGUUUAAUUUAUUGGCACAGUUGUUUUAAAUGUUAUGGAGCUUUUGAACAUGAAGACAGCAUUUUUGCACAUUUGCACUGCCCUGAAAAAUUUAGGGCACACUUCUGUACUGGCUUAAAUAAUCUCAGGUCUAAAUGCCUAAACACUAUUUUUGACAACUGCGCAUGAGGGAUAUACCUUUACAGGAAUUCUAAAGAAUAGAAAACUAAAAAUAUCUCGGUUGCAGAACAAAUUCACUGAAUUUCUUCUUCCACUUUGUGAUUAUGGUUAUAUUUUUAACCCUUGCAUUUAUUCCUAAGUCUGUUGGAAACAAUGGAAAUGAUUCCAUUGACUGCAACAAACUCUGCUUUCUACUGGGUUAAGGAAGAUGUUUGUACAUCAAAUUUGCUUGUGAUAUCCCGAUAAUAAAAUGGGGAAUUUUAUAAACACAUCAGGGAGGGUAAGUGCCCAGUAGAAAAUAUGUCAGAUAGAGAUCCAGAAAUUACAGUCUAAUUGUAACAGAAAUAAAACAAGGAGUGCUUACUAAUGAGUCAUGAAUGUCUUUAUAAUUGCUUCCACAUUUGGGGCAACUUUUUCCUAAAUCAUCUACAGAAACCCUGCAAUUCAUGGGACUUUUGAUAGUUGUUAUAAUCAGAACAACACGUCUCAUAUAUGACAAAAAUUACCUACACUGGGAAGGAUUUUUUCUCCUCAAAUUACUUUUCUGAGGAUUUAUUUCAAUCUCCAGCUAUUUUCUUAUCCUCCUCCUCAUUUUCUAUUUCUAAUAUAAAAACAGGAGUUCUUACCUGUUUAGAAGAGAAAUAAAACUAAAGAAAAUUCAGGCAGAACUGUAAAGCAUGGUCUAUUUUUAAAUUCCAACUCAGAUGAUAAGAACCUGUUUUGUGCUGCACUUCUCUCAUGAAAUCAGUUUUCCAUAGUGCAUUCAGUGUUGUAAUAAUGCAAAUCAAAUACAAUUUUAAUAACUCCUUCCAUUAAAAUGAUCUAUUAAUGUUUUAAGACUCCAACACUUACGAGCACGAUUCUAAUUGCAUGAUUUUGCUGCGGGCAGGUUUUAUAGAUCUGCCUGAUCUUCAGAUAUUUGCACCAUUAGGAUUAUUUUAAAUAAAUUAAUUUUUGGAAGAGA